rnacentral:rRNA from 1 species
UACGUAGGGGGCAAGCGUUGUCCGGAAUCAUUGGGCGUAAAGAGCGUGUAGGCGGCUUGGUAAGUCCGCUGUGAAAGUCCAGGGCUCAACCCUGGAAUGCCGGUGGAAACUGUCAAGCUUGAGUCCGGAAGAGGCGAGUGGAAUUCCUGGUGUAGCGGUGAAAUGCGCAGAUAUCAGGAGGAACACCAAUGGCGAAGGCAGCUCACUGGGACGUUACUGACGCUGAGACGCGAAAGCGUGGGGAGCAAACAGG